UAUGUUGUAUUGGGCUUCCAAGGCAUUCAACAAAGUACCACACAAAAGAUUAAAUCAUAAGAUAAGAGUCUACACAAUGCUGAAGGCUGUGUAUUAGUGUGGAUUGAGAAUUCGCUUAUCGCCGAGAAACAGCAAGUGGGGUUCCACAGGGAUCAGUGCUGGAACCAGCUCAGGAUGUGCAAAUGCUUUCAAUUUAGUUUGUAUUUUAGCAAUCUGCGAGAAGUUGAGGAAAAUACAAUCCAAAAGAAGAGUCAGAGAUAUUCACCAAUUUAGCAGCACGUAUACGAAAAGAGAUGGACAAACAAACAAUCCGCAACCUCCACAGUGGAAUUGGACAGCAGGAUCAUUGGGAACUUCACUGGUGCAGACAGGAACAUUGGAUCUUCCUGGUCUACAAGGCUCAGUACCACAUUAUGCAAGAAUUUAUUUACUGAGGAAUCAAGAAAGCUUCAAAAACAAUAAACAGCCUCGAUUUAAACAGGGAUGCGAAGCAUUUUAAUGCUGUGGUUAAGAAGUCUUCUCAACAACUCUCCUCACGCAACCUACUCAAAUGAGAGAAAGCCUGAA